CUGCAGCCCGAGUGGUGAUCGAUUUUAUUGAGCCUAAAGCGUCCGUAGCCGGACUAGUAAACCCUUGGGUAAAUUGGGCAGCUUAACUGUCCAAAUUCCGAGGGGACUGCUAGUCUUGGGACCGGGAGAGGUCAGAGGUACUCAAGGGGUAGGGGCUAAAUCCUGUAAUCCUUUGGGGACCACCAGUGGCGAAGGCGUCUGACUAGAACGGAUCCGACGGUAAGGGACGAAAGCCAGGGGAGCGAACCGGAUUAGAUACCCGAGUAGUCC
rnacentral:rRNA from 1 species